UGAAUACGAGACGCUACGGCGUCGAAGCAGUCUAUGUCAUACUUCCAAGAAAAGCUUGCACUGUCAUAAACAAAUAAUGCCUGUACCAUAACCGACACAGGUGGGUAGGUAGAGUAUACUAAGGGGCGCGAGAUAACUCUCUCUAAGGAACUCGGCAAAAUGACUCCGUAACUUCGGGAGAAGGAGUGCCUUAUUUAUAAGGUUGCAAUAACAAGAUCCAAGCAACUGUUUAUCAAAAACACAGGUCUCCGCUAAGUCGUAAGACGAUGUAUGGGGGCUGACGCCUGCCCAGUGCCAGAAGGUUAAAGAAGUUGGUUAGUGUAUGCGAAGCUGAUGACUGAAGCCCUGGUGAACGGCGGCCGUAACGAUAACGGUCCUAAGGUAGCGAAAUUCCUUGUCGGGUAAGUUCCGACCCGCACGAAAGGCGUAAUGAUUUGGAUACUGUCUCGGAGAGAGGCUCGGUGAAAUAGACUUGUCUGUGAAGAUGCGGACUACCUGCACCAGGACAGAAAGACCCUAUGAAGCUUUACUGUAACUUGAAAUUGGAAUUGGACUUUGCUUGCGCAGUAUAGGUGGGAAGCGUUGAAAAUAUUCUUGCGGGAGUAUUGGAGCUAUCAGUGAGAUACCACUCUUGUAAUGUUAGAUUUCUAACUUUGAACCAUAAUCUGGUCAAAGAACAGUUUCAGGUGGGCAGUUUGACUGGGGCGGUCGCCUCCCAAAUGGUAACGGAGGCGUACAAAGGUUUCCUCUGAACGGAUAGAAAUCGUAUCUAGAGUGUAAAGGCAUAAGGAAGCUUGACUGUGAGACCUACAAGUCGAGCAGGGACGAAAGUCGGUCUUAGUGAUCUGACGGUACUGAGUGGAAAGGCCGUCACUCAACGGAUAAAAGUUACUCUAGGGAUAACAGGCUGAUCCCCCAAGAGUUCACAUCGACGGGGAGGUUUGGCACCUCGAUGUCGGCUCAUCGCAUCCUGGGGCGGUAGUACGUCCCAAGGGUUGGGCUGUUCGCCCAUGAAAGCGGUACGCGAGCUGGGUUCAGAACGUCGUGAGACAGUUCGGUCCAUAUCCGGUGUAGGCGCUAGAAUAUUGAGAGGAGCCUUCUUUAGUACGAGAGGACCGAGAAGGACACACCGCUGGUGUACCAGUUAUCGUGCCAACGGUAAACGCUGGGUAGCUAUGUGUGGAGUGGAUAACCGCUGAAAGCAUCUAAGUGGGAAGCCCACCUCGUGAUGAG
rnacentral:rRNA from 1 species